AUUGAACGCUGGCGGCAUGCCUUACACAUGCAAGUCGAACGGCAGCGGACCUUCGGGUGCCGGCGAGUGGCGAACGGGUGAGUAAUAUAUCGGAACGUACCUUUCAGUGGGGGAUAACGUAGCGAAAGUUACGCUAAUACCGCAUAUUCUGUGAGCAGGAAAGCAGGGGAUCGCAAGACCUUGCGCUGAUUGAGCGGCCGAUAUCAGAUUAGCUAGUUGGUGAGGUAAAGGCUCACCAAGGCGACGAUCUGUAGCGGGUCUGAGAGGAUGAUCCGCCACACUGGAACUGAGACACGGUCCAGACUCCUACGGGAGGCAGCAGUGGGGAAUUUUGGACAAUGGGCGCAAGCCUGAUCCAGCCAUGCCGCGUGAGUGAAGAAGGCCUCG
rnacentral:rRNA from 1 species